rnacentral:lncRNA from 1 species
AAGGUUGUAAUUCAACUAACUUUCAACUAACAAGGUGUCAUCAGUUCAUUCAUGCUGUCACCAUCAUCUAUUCAACUAACAUUCUACUUGCUCACCGUGAGAAUCCCUCCUACUCGGGUUGGUUGUACUGGAAGGAAGAGUCUCUGGAGGAGGAAUCUGAGUUAUUUGAGCUUCUAUAUCUAGGAGCAGUGUGGUUUCCGAGGUAGUAAUUAAGAAUCUUGGCCUGCUAGCCAAAGGAGGGGCUGUAAGGAGAUGCUAUGCUUAACAGCGAGCAGACGAUGUAAUAGGAGCUUAAUCAAAAGUAAGCUGGUCCAGAAGUAUAGUCUGGAUGUAAUUUGAAGAAGUGUAGGACAUCUUCAUGUCUGUUAUAGUAAUCUCUAGGUAGAGGUUCUCUAGCUGUGGAAUUAUGGUUCUGAUACACAGCCAACCUCUCUGAGAUCAUGUUCGGUUGAUGGCCUGGCUGUUGACAACGCUGUAUGGUUUUAAAUCGCGCUGCUUUUCACGAUCAAAUGGCUGUCUAGAGAGUCUUCUGCUGGGAACAGGGUGUUUAUUCCGUUCUGCUUGGUGUUUUAUGAUCUGAUGGAAAAUUAGCAUGAUGGGACAAUCUUUGAGGCAGAACUGGUGUGGACUUUAGUUGGAGUUAUGGAAGGUUGUUGGAGUGACGGGAAUAUUGAGUGUAGGAGACGCUAGUGAAGAUCUAGGCUGCUAAAAAAGGAGAGUUGGGCAGAUGUCCUCCGCCUGUAGUGGAAUGCUGCCUUGGAUGGUAUAUCUGUGAUAGAUGCCAAAGCUGGGUUGGGAGUGGGAUGCUGGAUGCUACUACCAGAGUGUAGGAUUCAUUUUGUAAAGCCAGCUCUUUUCCAACUCUCACCAAGAAAAAUCAGGAUGCAAUAAAGGGCCUUUCUCUGGAAUCAAAGCUUGUUGGUGAUGCCUUGGCACAUUCUCCGUAUGCAGGGGCUGUAAAGAUACUGGUGCAAGCAUAGAGAUGUCAAAUACCAGCUGCCAGACAUGUUUCUAACUAACGUGGUUUUAUUAGUUUUGCAGGUAUAGCAUGUUACAUUGAAGUGUUGGUGCCUUCAGUUUUCUAAACAGGAGACUCUGUUGGUAGAAGUGGUAGCCUAUCUGCGAGCACGUUUCAAGAGUUAUGUAGGAGCAAAAGAGCGAUCAUAUCUUGGAGUAAGAAGGAUGGAGCAAGAGGUAGAGCUGAAGUUCAAGAAGUUAGACACGGGAAGAGAUUUAAACCUCAUUAGCGCACACGUUGAUUCUCUAAGCUAAUGUGAAUCCCUUCCUACGCUGCUUCUUCAGUUGUUCUCUUUUUCAAGUCCAUGCUUAACCAGGACUCAUCAGCCUUGGUUGUGGUUGGAUGCAGUGAGGGUGCAGGCUUGCUCCUUACUCUGUUGUUUGUCACCAAAGGAAUUGGCUAUGAUGUUAUGUGGUUUUCCCUCCUUCUAGCUUGAGUCACUGGAACUGCGAGUUCAGGUUGCUAACAUGUCGUUUAGCUUUACGCUUAUGCUGGGCUCUCUGCUGCUGAUUAUAGUAGUUAUUAGGUUGUUUUUAUGCUUUCUUCAGCUAUCUAUGUGCUCUUUGGUGGUCUAAAACCAAAGGGCAAAGUACUAUGGCGACACCCCUAAAAUGUUUCUCAUCUAUUUAUUUUUAUUCUUUCCUCAUAAAAAAAAACUAACAUUCUACUCGUAGGUAUUAAUAUUUAUUAUUCAUGAUCCCUAUUAUAGCACUUGGUUUUGUAAUUUGUUUUAUGUUAUCUACUAAUUUAGUAAGGAACAUCUGAUAUUGUAAAUUGGAAUGAUUAUCCUGGAUAAACUCAACAACUUU